AUUUAAAUAGUUAAGUUAAUAUUAAUUUGUCAAAUUAAAGAUAUAGAAUUCCUCAGUUAAUACCCCUAUCUUGAUUA
rnacentral:tRNA from 1 species